AAGAGUGCCACAAGUGAUUCCAGAUUAGUUUACAAAACCAUAUAAAAAUAGAAAAUGGCGGACCAGUUCAUUGUUUGUGUGUCUCAAAACCCCGUGUUAUAUGAUAAGGAACAUCAACAGUACAAAGAUAAUGACGUUAAGGACAACGUGUGGACCAGCAUCGCCGAACAACUCGGCUAUCAGGAUUUUGAAGAUGCUAAGAAACUAUGGAAGAGCCUCAGGGACACAUAUCGGAAGAAAAGAGAGGAGAAAGACACAACCAGUGGAGUCGAGUGAGGAGGUAGAGGACCACAUCGUCAUCACUGGAUGAAGCUGAAUCCAUGUUUUUUUCGUUCUGAAACUUAGGCGAAUCUUUUGUUAAAAAAAAAUAAAUAAAUAAAAAGUCUCGCAAAGUCGCAAAUUCGCAUCGCGUCCGGUGUGUAAGGACCUUUAGUCAUGAAAGUUCCACUUUUCAGAACAUUGUGAGCUAACUUGCUGUUCGUAACACGGUCAGUCUACUUUACAGUUUUCUUUAGGCAACAAUCAUUUUUUAUUAUUCAAUCGUUUAAAGGUAUUUGAAAACGCAUUUUUAGAAGCCUAAAUUUCCCACAAUACAAGUUCACCCGAACUUUGAUAAUGAGCGUGUUUAUGAGACCUGUCAAUUAGUUAUGACGUGCCCCUACUUUCCUGUAGGCCAGCGGCGCAAACUGUGGGUCACAAUUUAUAGGGGAGUGGUUAUCCUCGUGUGACGUACUACUAGGAGAACAUUGUCAACCGGUUGAAAAUAGGAUUCUGCAUUUUAAACAAAAGACACAAUAUAGCAUUAUUUAUAGAAUCUGCAUGCUACCGCCCUCUGCAGGGUUGAUACAAAACUGCCUAUAACUAUUUGUUGGGAAAUAGUUAAGCCUAUUUUAUUCACAUUGAUUUAAUUUAAUAUUGAGCCGGGAAGUAGUAGAAGCUGCGACAUUAUUGAGAGACUCCAACAGCACCACUUAUUUAACAUAUGCUUCUUGAAAACACAAUGUGAAAAAUUAGUGUGAUAUUCAACAAUCUCAAAGAACAGCACUACGAGAGAGUUCAGACGUUCAGAUCAUUUUUGGCAACCCAAUAUUCCAAUUAGCACACCCUCAUGCUAUGAAAGUACUGUCAUUAUAUGGGGUUAUAGGCUACGAGAUGCAAAUAAAAAGAGAAAGAGAGAGUCAGACGGAGGAGAGAGAUGAAAGGAGGGUGGCAGAUGCAGAGUCAGUGGGGAGUUUGGAGAAAGAUUUGAGAGGGGGGAGUGAGGCGGCGACAGGGGUAGCAAAGCAAAAACGUAUGGAUUACUGCGCAGUCUGAUCGCCCCUGAAAAGCCUGGUGAGAUGGAUUACAAAUGUAUUGUGGAUGAAUUGCAGAGUCGCCACCUAAUGCUCGCCAUGCUAAUAACCAGGGAUAUUAAUCACUGCAUACAUAACAGUUUCCACCACCUCAUUGCAAUUAUCCUGGUAGCUAGCAAUAGCAUCCGUUGGGGGAUUUGUUUCCAAAAUGACUUGAACCACACAUCAGUGUAUUCAAAUUUUAUACUGUAAAAAUAAACGUAAAUGGAAACCCGAAAUGGGGUGCAGUAGAUUUGUGGAAAAAAGAGAUUAAAUCCGCAGUGCUGAAACCGCCACAAAAAAAAUAGUGUUACCUCCUGUUGUGCAUUCCAAAAAAUGUAUGGAAGCUUUGAUAAGACUGGUGAAACUGUUGAUUUUCUUGAGAGACUUCCAGAAAAAUACAGUGCACACAACGGAAUGGAGAAACCUGGAGAUAACAUACCAGUCUUAUCCUGUAUGGACGGUUUGCGGAAAGAGCUAAAAGGAUACCUGCCUUCGGGAAAUGGCUCCCCAGGGUAAUGUCUCGUUCCAAAACCCUGGUGGCUGCCCCGGAUGAUGUGCAAGAGGGUUAUUGGGACACAAAUGCUGAUGAAGAAGGUGGAUGAUGCAGCAAAUGAACACCUCAUGACUGUCCAAGUGCAGGCACUGCAUCCAGACUGGGGUAUCACUGCAGGUCCAGGAUAUGUGAACAUGCAAUCAGUAAUUUAUGAGCAAGCAGAUUAUUAUGGUUAGUCAAUGAUAGUCUGUAAGAGUUACCCAAUCUUUUUACCUCUCUUGACAAGAGUGGGAGGGUUUUUGGUUGUGUGGCUCAGGGACAUUGGUCAUCUUUUUGGGACAGAGCGCAGAGAGCAUAUUUUAUACAAUAUAUAACUGAACAUAGGAAACUGCAUGAUAUAGCAGGUUGUUCACUGUUUAGGUUAUUGGCCUCUGCAAGUCUGCCCCCAAAAAUGGCUGAUGAUUGGACAGGAUUUCAAUGCAAUUUCCAGGUACAUGGAUGUGACUGUUUAUGGUGUUCAGUUAGACACAGUGCAUUCUGUUUCAAGGUGCGAGUUAAACAUGUGAAGGAGAGAAUAAGCCCUGCACUAUUCCAGGGGGAGUGGCAAUUCCAGGAUAUUCUUCCCUUCUUGGCAUAUUGGAAUAAGGGGAAGCCUAAUGUUAUUCUAAAAGAUUUUGAAAUCCCAGGGACCCAAAAUCGAGAGGCAAAUGGUCUGCAGAGCAUAUCACAAGUAUAUUGGUGAAUAUGAGGCUCAACAAUCCACACUUGAACGACUUGCUGGCAAAUGCACAGUGAAAAAGAAAGCACAACGAAGCAGAGGGCAGUGUAACCAAAGAUUAGAUGAUUGUUUGUAAAUAAUGCUACAGUGGGCAUUACAUGCAAGUGGAUGCUGUAGAGCAAUUCCAUGUACAUGGGGGCAAAGUAAAUGACUAUAAAGUGAUUAAAAAUGAAGUUUGUGAAAUCCAAUAUAGUUUGUGAGACUUAAUAAUCAUAAGGGGGGAAAUGUUGGAAAUAGUAAGUUGAAAUGUAAUGCAUCAUAUACCUGCAUGGUAAUAUGUACCUAAUAUGCAGUCAUAUCAAAAGCCAUAUUUAUGUGAUAAUCAAUGUAAACAAUUGUGUAUUAGGAUGUUUUAUUUGGCUAGGUAAGCAUUGUUUGGCUAGGUAAGUGGUUCAUACAUUGAUCAUACAUUUGCAUGUUGCGGUACUAUGAUUAAA